rnacentral:rRNA from 1 species
UACAGAGGGUGCGAGCGUUAUUCGGAAUUACUGGGCGUAAAGGGCGCGUAGGCGGAUUAUUAAGUUAGAUGUGAAAUCCCUGGGCUUAACCUAGGAACUGCAUCUAAUACUGGUAGACUAGAGUGCGGUAGAGGAUAGUGGAAUUUCCGGUGUAGCGGUGAAAUGCGUAGAUAUCGGAAGGAACACCAGUGGCGAAGGCGGCUAUCUGGACGGACACUGACGCUGAGGCGCGAGAGCGUGGGGAGCAAACAGG